rnacentral:rRNA from 1 species
AUUGAACGCUGGCGGCAGGCCUAACACAUGCAAGUCGAACGAGUGGCGGACGGGUGAGUAAUGUCUGGGAAACUGCCUGAUGGAGGGGGAUAACUAAUGGAAACGGUAGCUAAUACCGCAUACCAUCGGAUGUGCCCAGAUUGGAUUAGCUAGUAGGGGGGGUAAAGGCCCACCGAGGCGACGAUCCCUAGCUGGUCUGAGAUGAUGACCAGCAACAUGUGAACGAAGACACGUCCCAGACUCUGACGUGAGGCAGCAGUGGGGAAUAUUGCACAAUGGGCGCAAGCCUGAUGCAGCCAUGCCGCGUGUAUGAAGAAGGCCUUCGGGGUGUAAAGUACUUUCAGCGGGGAGGCGUUACCCGCAGAAGAAGCACCGGCUAACUCCGUGCCAGCAGCCGCGGUAAUUC